rnacentral:rRNA from 1 species
AGUGAACGCUGGCGGUAGGCCUAACACAUGCAAGUCGAACGGCAGCACAGUAAGAGCUUGCUCUUACGGGUGGCGAGUGGCGGACGGGUGAGGAAUACAUCGGAAUCUACUUUUUCGUGGGGGAUAACGUAGGGAAACUUACGCUAAUACCGCAUACGACCUACGGGUGAAAGCAGGGGAUCUUCGGACCUUGCGCGAUUGAAUGGGCCGAUGUCGGAUUAGCUAGUUGGCGGGGUAAAGGCCCACCAAGGCGACGAUCCGUAGCUGGUCUGAGCGGAUGAGCGGACACAGUGGGACGUAGACAAGGACCAGGCUACCGCGGGAGGCCGCAGUGGGGAAUGUUGGAGAAGGGGCGUAAGCGUGAUCCAGCCGUGUCGCGUGAGGGAAGAAGGCCUUCGGGUUGUACCACGGUUUUGGUCGGGAAGAAAGACUCUGGGCUAAUACAACGGGGGGAUGACGGUAGUGGAAGAAUAAGCACCGGCUAACUUCGUG